GGCCUGGUGGUCUAGUAGUAUGAUUCCUUCUUAGGGCUCUUCAAUUCGCUUGCAGGUCUUUGGAGGAGGUCCCGGGUUCAAUUCCCGGCCAGGCCC